AACUCGGUCAGACAGAGGAGAGAGAUUGGAAGUUUACAGAGGAUCGGUUUUAGUUGACAGCUUUGCUUGUUUAAAGAAGUAGGCGUGGUAGUCCUGUGUUCGGGAACUCAGUAGUCACAGUCGGAUAAAAGAGGUAUACUGAAUGAAGUUAAUAGUAGCAAGAGAGGAGAAAGAGUUCAAAGAGGAAGUAUGGAGGUCGGUUGCCAGUACUGUUAUAGUUGUUGGUGAAUCCCGAGUCA
rnacentral:lncRNA from 1 species